rnacentral:rRNA from 1 species
AGCUUGCUCCCUGAUGUUAGCGGCGGACGGGUGAGUAACACGUGGGUAACCUGCCUGUAAGACUGGGAUAACUCCGGGAAACCGGGGCUAAUACCGGAUGCUUGAUUGAACCGCAUGGUUCAAUUAUAAAAGGUGGCUUUUAGCUACCACUUACAGAUGGACCCGCGGCGCAUUAGCUAGUUGGUGAGGUAACGGCUCACCAAGGCAACGAUGCGUAGCCGACCUGAGAGGGUGAUCGGCCACACUGGGACUGAGACACGGCCCAGACUCCUACGGGAGGCAGCAGUAGGGAAUCUUCCGCAAUGGACGAAAGUCUGACGGAGCAACGCCGCGUGAGUGAUGAAGGUUUUCGGAUCGUAAAACUCUGUUGUUAGGGAAGAACAAGUACCGUUCGAAUAGGGCGGUACCUUGACGGUACCUAACCAGAAAGCCACGGCUAACUACGUGCCAGCAGCCGCGGUAAUACGUAGGUGGCAAGCGUUGUCCGGAAUUAUUGGGCGUAAAGCGCGCGCAGGCGGUUUCUUAAGUCUGAUGUGAAAGCCCCCGGCUCAACCGGGGAGGGUCAUUGGAAACUGG